ensembl:lncRNA
UUUCUGGUUGGAGAUCCUUCCCUUGUGGAGUUUUCCCUGCAAGCCUAGAUGUUCAGAGCCAGAAAGGUAAUUAUCGAAGAUUAUGGAUAUUUAUUAUAUUGCUUAAACUAUGGUAUAUAAGCCAAAUUCGGUUUCUGCCACUUGUUCUCUUUGGCCUGGAGCUCUAUUGAUACUGCAGCACAGCUGCAAGGAGACAGGAGGAGGUUCUCUUAAUCCAACAGCCAGCUGUCUCCUUGCUUUUCCACAGCAAAUUGCUGAGGCAAGGUGCCAAGGAGGAUAUGAGAAGAUAUGCCUGGAAAGACAUAAAGAGAAUCACAAAAGGCAUCAUGGGGAAGGCAAAGACACUAAUGGGGAGAGAGAGGUUUGGCUCCGCACAGUGCUACAGCAAUAGCACAUGGACCAAAGAGUUCAAAUGCUGCUAGUGUCAAAUUGUUGUUUAUAAGAGUAUGGACUUGUGUAGCUAGGGACCUUCUGUCAAAUUUGUAGUUGUUUGUGUCUAAAAAGUGUUUAACAAUGAUGUCACAUGAUUUUCAAUAUUUUUGCUGGGAGUUUCCUAGGAGUAAAGUCUUACAUUGUUGCAUAGAAGUUAGAGACCCUCAGAUUUUUCAGAAAAGCAUUUUCUGGUAUAGAAGUUAUUGUUUUGGCAUGACACUCGUAGCUUCUGGUCAGUUCAUCAGCAUAAUUUGUCAACCAGUCAUGCCUAUCAACUGUCUUAGAGUGAGACCUUCAAACUGACUUGUAAAUUUAAUUGAAAAAUAUGGCAAUGGAUUUAUUUUUGCUGUUAAGCCAACUAAAAGUUCUUGGCAAAAGAAUAAAUCUAUUGCCUGUUGUUUUGGUUGGAGAGUUUUGUAUUAUGGAUUUAAAAUUGUGUAUUAGAAAUCCGGUAUUUUUUCCACCUGAGGUCUGAGAGAAGGAAUUUUCAAAACAAUUGCUUCUGAAACUUCAGGACAAUUGUAAGAAGAAUUGGAAUGUUUAACUUGCAAGGCCACCCAACUGCGUUCUAACUAUACUGCUUUUUACUGUGCUUUUUCAUAAUGAAUAUUUAACAUACAGGCUCUAAAAAAUCUCUUCCUCUUCGAGUUGCUGUAAGUGUCAGCACUUGGUGUUCAUGAUAUUGCAGUUAGACCAAUUUGCCAAGUACUUUCACAGAAGACUGGAUUUUAGCAGAUGUAAAUUUCCAAUGUAAUGCAAGCAAAACCACUAAUAAAAUGUUUCCAGUCUUCUUUAUAAAUAGAACGAAAACUCAAGUUACUUUGUCUUUUGAGGUAUAUGUAUGAAAAGAUAAAAAUAACUUGCUGUAGGCUUUACAUAUAUAGAUAUAUAUAUAAGCUAACAUGAAAGUGAGAGACAAACUUUACAAUUCUUUUAUAGUGCAAAAAUAAAUAUAUUUAGAUAGCCUUCUUGGCCUUCAGUUCUCCUAAUUAUGUUCUUGAGACCUUGUUAUUCUGGAUUCUUUUAAAAAAUGUCUUCUAAAAGUACUGUUUCUUUUUUGGUAUCAUAAUCACUUUGCAGCUCUUUGUGUUUAUCCCUCACUUAAAAAAUAUAUAUAUAUAUCCCUCCUAUAUCCAGUCUUGUAUAUCUCUGAAAUUUUGUCCUUAAAAUGAAGUUUGGGAUCUGGGGUCUCUACAGACUCUUAACAGUAUUUCCUACAAUAAAAAACAUCAUAUGAGAGUUGAUUGAACC